rnacentral:lncRNA from 1 species
UGAAAAAUGCCUGAGUUGGAGUUAGCUAAAUGGAGGUGUGGUUGAGUGAGAGGGGCCAUGAUUAGCAAAAGAAAGAGCUUGAGCCAAGAGGUGAAAGCAAGAAAGUGUAUCCUGAAGGACAUAGAAGGGACAAGAGGCAGGAAGGCUUUCUCUGGUAUCCUAAAGAGUUUGGGCUUGACCCUGGAUGGAGAACUGCUAGGAGAAUUUGGGUAAGGCAAAGACACAACUAUUACAUUUUAGAAAAAAAUGAUACCACUGGCAAUACAGAAAAUGUAUCAAAGUUGAAGCCACUGGGUACAUCAUGGUUCAAGUCGCUGAGAAUGAGAACUGAUAGAGACCUAAGGGGGUGGCAAGUAGAGGGGAAUUCAUGAUGAACUCAGUUUGGAAUAUGUUGAAUUCACAUAUUCAGAGAAAUGUUUAGGGUAGUGGGGAAGACAAGAUUUGGGCAUAAGAGAGAGAAGAAAAAUUUGAGAGGUUGAGAUUGUGCAGUGCUUUAUCAUAGCAUGUAUGAUCUCUUGACACAUUCUUUAUUUCAUGUCUUCCCUGACUAGAAAUAAACUUCACGAGGGUGAGAACUUUGCUUUAUUUCCACCAUCUAGAACUGUGCCUGAACCACAGGGAGCACUCAGGAAAAAUUUACUGAAAAGAUGAAUUAUUCAGAAUUGUAGUUGAAAAGGUGUCUUCAGAGGAGUUUACUUACAUGCAGUGGACAUGAAAUAGGGCAUAGAGUGAAACCGUAGGCAAAACAUUGGGUGGAUAAUGUCAUUUGAUGCCAAAAAAGAAGCACUGAGGAAUUAGGAAAAACAAGAGAUAAUGAGGUCCCAGGUGACAAUGGAAGCAGUUGUGGAAAACUGCUUUAAAUGUCAUAGAGCACUCAGAAGGAAUUCAUAAAUGACCUCAUAAAGAAGUCCACUGUGGUUUCCCUGCAGAGGUGGGAAUAGAAUCAGAGUGCUAAGGAUUGAGGGAUUAAGAGGAGGUGAUUGUAUUAUUCCUCUUUUCAGAUAAUGGAGAGAGAGAAGAGAACAGCAGUAGCCGUUGCCAGAAAUAUUGAGCAAGGCGGAUUUAUUAGAUGAAGAUAUCAAAAUACUUUCCAUUGAGGAAACAGGUUGGAGGUGGGAGGCUGUAACCAUGCUUGAUUUUGUACCACCCUAACCUUUGCUUGAUCCAGGUUCCAGUCCAAUAUGCACCAUUCAGCCUGGUUGCAGCAUGUUAAGCAGCCCUGGAGGCAGCAGAUGAGGGAUCCUAUGAAGCAACUUUCAGACAUUCAGAACCAAGACAAAAAAAAAGAGAAUUAAAGUAAAAUAUGAUGUACCCAGGAGUUACAUCAGUGAACCAAAUACAGCCUCAAAUUUCGAUCUGUGCUUCACAGCAGCCAGCAAAAAGAACAAAACAUAUUUUGUUAGUUCAUAUAAAUAAAUAAAUUAAAAAUGCAUGAAUAAAUAAAUAAAGCAAACCAGUUUCUCGAUUCUGAAAUAUUUUCUGGAAGUGAGAACUGAAAGGAAUUUCCACCAUGGACCCACAAGCAGUUGUUGGUGGCAUAUAUAAUGAGUGCUGGGUGUUAAGGAAGCAAUGGUGAAGGAGAGACACCCUCCCGACCCUCAUGGUGCUUGCAGCCUAGUGGAGCUAUGAAAAGAUAGGCAAGUGAGUCCUAUGAUUGGAGAAGUAAUGAGAAGUAAUGAGAAGCGUCUUCUAAGCAUAGGGGUAAAGACUGCAAAGACCCUGAAGGGAGAAAGUAAUGGCCAUUCUGAGAACUGAAAGUUUGCACAGUGCACAGAGGGCAUGAAGAACGAAGGAAAGAGAUUUUUUUUUUUUUUUUUUUGCCCAAGAUGGCAAGUUGCUUAAAACCUAAAGCUCCUUUCAAUUCUUUACAAUCCAAGAUUAUAUGGAAUGGACUGGGAACAAAGAGAGGGACUGGCAUUUAAAGUCUUUUAUACACUUUGGAACAAAUGUUAUUCUCCAUUCAUCCUGACACUAAAUUGGUUAGCCAAACCCAAAGAUCUACUAAUAAUCCUGCUUUGGCAUGGGAGAAUGAGUGAGAUAAGGAGGCAAUAGAGGAGAUGAAUCGACAAAUGGAAGGAAUAGAAUUCUGGUUGAUGUCCUUGUCUCUAAGCUGUAGCAGCAAGUAUUUAUCCUAAUCAUGUGGUGUUAGCACGGAGAUGAGAAAGAGAGAAAGACAACAUCAUGCUUUGCUGUCUGUGUGUGAACUGAGUAACAGCUGUGAAGGAUCAGUCACCAAAAGACUUUGAAAGAAGAGGCUUGAUUGGUCACGGUAAUGAUGCUCCCCUGGCCAUGGAAGUUUAAUUGGGAGAAAAGAACAUCUGCUUAUACGAAAACAUAUUAUAUUCAGCCAUCCCUGCCCUGACUUUGGCCUUUAAAAACAGUGGCAUUAAUUAUCUCAACAAAUGAAUCUUCGGGAUAAAAAUAAUCUAAAUAUUAUUUUACGCUUACUACAUAUUUGCAACGUGCUAAGCUCUUUAUGGUUGCUACCACAAAAAACAUUUAUAAUAUGAGGUGGGUAUUUUUAUUAUAUACAUUUUCAGUUUAAAGACAGUAACUUCAGAAUGUAACUUGUCCUAGUCACACAAAAGCAGGUGUGGACUAAAACUCAAACCCAUGAUUCUUUCACUUUAAAUGAUAUGGUUCUGAACCAUUAAAUUCGAAUGCUACUAAGAAUGGUGAAUGCUAAGCAAUGUUAAGCUACACAUUGUUAUUAUUAACAAAUAAUUUCAAAAGGGCAGGAGAGGUAGGUUAAAAAUUAAAGGGUUAAGCUGGAAUAACAUGUCAAAUUUCUCAGAGUUUUUUAUUUUCAUGAAAAAAUAUAUUUUAUAUUGCAACAGAAUGAACUUGACUUAACAGUUUAGGUAGCUGAUUGCAUAUAUUUUGAUAGUCCUAUCAUAUUUCCAACAAAUACAUUUUCUCCCCACCCCACCUGCAACUGGAGACUUCACAAGGUUAGGAACAGGCUUCACUUCAUUGUGAUGUGUGUAAGGUGACAGAGGACAUAUAACGAAUACGUGGAAGAACUAGGAAUUUGACCUUAGCUUCCAGACAUUUUGAGGAGGAUACACUAUGUCCAUCUUGCUUUCCUAUCAAGAAAAGUAUACCCAGUUUGUGCAGUAGCCCUGUACCAACAGAUACAUUACAGCAGGUUGUUUCCGUAUUUUGGCUAUUGUGAAUAGUGCUGCAAUAAACAUGGAAGUGCUGAUAUAUCUUUGAGAUCUUGACUUCAAACAAAAGAAGAAAAUCUUGCAAUAUAUGACAACACGGAUUAACCUGGAGGACAUUGUGCUUAGUGAAGUUAGCCAGUCACAGACUGACAAGUACUGCACGAUUCCACUUAUGAAGACUACAGUUCCUAUCUUCACAGGUGGCUGUUAGCUCUAAAUGAACUCAUUUAUUUUGAAAGCAUGAUUUAAAGUAUAGUUUUAAACUAUAAGCAUUUCAGAAGUGAUGACCCAUGACUCAAAUCUCAAAAAUAAAUGCUACAGUUCACAGUUGGAAUAUGGACACAAGAAAAAUAAUAGGUGAGUAAAAAAAGAAUUUUUACCACAGAACAAAAGUUUAUUAAACACAAUUAUGAAUGAAUAUUAAUGUCAACAGAGUGCUUUUUAGAUGCCUCCUAAGCUUUGUAUGCACCUAAAAGAGAUACAAGUCAGCUCAGCUGCUAAGGAAUAGGCAGACCAGAAUGCAGUCAGAGAAAUAAACAGUUGAACAGAUAAUUCCAAAAGGAUGUGAUAAGUGUUAUGGGGGGAAUUCGGAGAAAGUGCCGAGGCAUCACACAGGAGAGACCAGCUGUCCCUGGCAUAGCUGGUGGAGAUCUUAUUAAACAACGAUACUAAGGCUGACUCUUGACUAUGAAACGAAUUUCACAGAGAAACAAGCAAAAAAGCAAUAGAAAUAUUAAUUUGUGUACCCUAUUUCAUGACAAUUAUAUACAAAAACAGAACGUUCAAAGCCUUAGGCAAUAAAACUGAUAUUUCUUGCAACAGGCUUUGGCCAAAAAAGAGUGCAGUUCUGUGAUGAAUAUCAGCUUCAUCAACAUGCCCCAGGCACCGUGAUGUCCCUCCUCUGCUCUGCUGCAUAACAGGGUGGAGACCAAAUCCAACAGUAUGAACAAGCAUCCAUCAAAACCACAGUUCUAUUAUUGAGACCAUUUCUGAUUGAAUUUCCUCAGCAGACUAUCCAAGUCGUCAUGUUCAUCAAGGUAUUCAAUUUAAAUGACCAUUAAAACGAAAUUAAGUUGGUAUUAACCUUGUCUUUUCAGAUGAUGCCACUGAAAGGUAAACAUACCAUUCUGACAUGCAUGAAAAUGAAACGACAAAUUGAUACACGCAGUGCUUGGAAUGGAUGGAGUCCUUCUAAUGAGUGAUUACCUGUGGUAUAACUAUAUUGAUUGUGUUUGUACAUGUCAAAUGGGGCUGGCGAGGAUGAACUUGAAGAAAUCAAUCUUGGAACCUGCUAGGACAGCAGCCUCCUGGUUUCACAGUACUAAAUCAUGACUUCAAAAUUUUGAAGUAAAAGAAAACUGCAAAACUUUGUAAAGGUACCAGUCUCUUCCUGACACUAUUUGCCUUGGCAAAAGAUUCACUGUCAACUUAAAAGACUAACAUGUGCUCAGAUGAUGAUUUGUGGAGGACAGAUAAUUAUGAGUACAUUUAGAAAUACACACUCUUCCAAACCCUGCUCUUUCCAUAUAAUGAAGUUAUUUAUUUCUAUUUUUUAUUUAUUUUUCUAAUAAUUACAAACAUACUUUGGAGACCCACAUUCCUGUAUUAUUCUUUCAACAUACUGAAGAAGAGUUAUUUCUAUGCUUCUUUCUAUGUGUUGGGCUUAAGAUUUAUUAGAAGGAAUGUGUAAAAACAAAGGCAGCAAAGUUUCUAUUUUUAUUGGGAGUCACUCCCGGAGUAAGUGGGGAUAGUUGUGCACACACACACACACACAUUCAUGCACAAAGAAAGAGUGAUCAAGUGUAUAACACACUUUUAGCAGUGUUUUGCUGGAAGAAUAAAGUAUAACUCCUUGUCCGCCCUUUUAUUAUACUGGGGUUCACACUAAGAGAGUCUGAGGACCUGUGGAACUCCCAUUUGCAUGAAAUAACUUUUGCAUCUAUUCUGGAGGAAAACUUCCUAAGGCAGAUUUGGACAGAAAAUUGCUAUCAGCGCAAAUAAAACAAUGCAAAGCCUACUCCGGGGAACGUUGCUCUGCCACCACUACUGAAAUGGGUCAUCCCCUUGGUUUCUGAAUAAAGAAUUAUGAAACCUGGGGCUAGAAUGCUCAGGGAGGAAUUUACCAAUCCAAAUCUUCCCCUUAUGGUAGAGAACAAACUUUCAAGGUUUGUUCUCCACUGUAAGUGUGCGAGGGCUGUUAGGGACCGUAAUAUGGCUGCCGGAGACUGGUGUGUGUACCUCCUUGACUGUACGUCUCAUUUCCAGUUAUGAUUUUACAAUCAUCUCUUUCUCAACCUUUGCUUUUAAAUAUAGGAAGGUACGGCUCACCAUGGAGCGGACAUUUUCUUCAGGAGCGGUACGGUGUCUAAGAUAUGCAGAGGUUGUAUUCUAGUCCUAUAACUCAAUUCUCAAACACAUGGCUUUUAGCCAGGGAUAUCCUAAAGGAAAAUUACACUAUAUGCAACCCCUCCUUACUCCUCAAAUAUUAUCUAUAUUAAACACAGCUGAAAUUUGAGAGUGUCCUUACAGGUGAAAAUUUAACAAUUUAACAAAAGGACACUGCUGAAUGUGUGGGGACAAAGGAAGGAUGAAUCUUUCAUCAUGACAAAAGACUACUUGCCACAUUCUCCCUUAACUUAGAAAAACAGAAAAGAGGCUGGGCGUGGUGGCUCCUGCCUGUAACCUCAGCACUUUGGGAG